rnacentral:rRNA from 1 species
UACGUAGGGUGCGAGCGUUGUCCGGAAUUAUUGGGCGUAAAGAGCUCGUAGGCGGUGUGUCACGUCGGCCGUGAAAACCUGCAGCUUAACUGUGGGCGUGCGGUCGAUACGGGCAUCACUGGAGUUCGGCAGGGGAGACUGGAAUUCCUGGUGUAGCGGUGAAAUGCGCAGAUAUCAGGAGGAACACCGGUGGGCGAAGGCGGGUCUCUGGGCCGAUACUGACGC